AAUGGGCGCAAGCCUGAUCCAGCCAUGCCGCGUGAGUGAUGAAGGCCUUAGGGUCGUAAAGCUCUUUCGCCAGGGAUGAUAAUGACAGUACCUGGUAAAGAAACCCCGGCUAACUCCGUGCCAGCAGCCGCGGUAAUACGGAGGGGGUUAGCGUUGUUCGGAAUUACUGGGCGUAAAGCGCACGUAGGCGGACUGGAAAGUUAGGGGUGAAAUCCCGGGGCUCAACCCCGGAACUGCCUCUAAAACUAUCAGUCUAGAGUUCGAGAGAGGUGAGUGGAAUUCCGAGUGUAGAGGUGAAAUUCGUAGAUAUUCGGAGGAACACCAGUGGCGAAGGCGGCUCACUGGCUCGAUACUGACGCUGAGGUGCGAAAGUGUGGGGAGCAAACAGGAUU
rnacentral:rRNA from 1 species